GAACGGAUUAAGUUUGUAAACCGAGGUACCAUUGUAAUCAGGAGGCUCUUGAGGAAAUUUAUCCUGGCUUCAGAAAAAAUGGUGGAUUACUAAAGAUCCCAUUUUAUGUGGGCCUACCUUUAGAGAAGAUCAUCAUAUGGUGAUAGUGUUUUGUAAGCUUCAUUAGCUGCCACUUUGUUUUUCAGCCUAAUUGGGAUCACACUUCCUCUCCAAUGUUUACCUACCAGGGCACUGCAAUCAUCUUCAGAGGGCGUCCUCUAGAUGCUGCAUCAACUGAACUACAAGGAAAUGGACCUUCUCAAAUGUGGAAUUACUGUUUUUGGGUGGAUUAAAAAUAAAUUAAAUAUAUUCCACCAAAGUGCAAACUUAAAACAGAGCUGAUGUGGAUCUUCUGUGGCACUUAAUUCCCUGAUGCUUUGGUGAAGAUGACUUCUACAUCUGCAUAGUUGUUUUCGCUCACUUGUUCCACUUCUCCCACCUCAUCAUCUUAUAAUAAGAGGUAAAUUAAAAACAAUGUUUUUUAAGUACAUAUCAGUCAUUUUCUUUUCUUUUUGGAAAAAACAUUUGUUCUGGAUAUUUUCUCAUGCUAUUUAAAAUAUCCAUUUAUUGCUUGCUCAUAUUAUGAUGGGUAUGAUGGUCAGUCUACAUAAUGCUUUUUGUUUUCCAGAUGUGAAGAAAUGAUCAGAAAAAAGAAAAAGGAGGUGUACAUUUUUAGAAUUCUGUUUCUGAAAUGUGGGUAGGAGAAGGAAACAAAGCUUGUGAACUUCCCAUGUAUGCUUUUUUAUUAUCUCCCUAGAACAGAUACAGCAGGAAGAAGAAUGAGGACACAUCCUCCCAAAUUGUACUUGAUUCCAGAUACAAAACUGGAGGACAAGAAUCCCCUUCUUGAGGAGAAAUAUAGAUCUGUAAUUUCAAGAAGACAAAAUAGAAUAUCUACUUACCUCUGCUGCGGGAGAAGUAAAGACAGUAACAAGGGGCCAUUUGCUUGGGUUUGGACUAAUGCUUCACCUUGUGCAUUUCAAAUUGCUGAAGUCUUUCCUGAAUCAUGGAGAAGUGAUAAAACUGAACCAACACCUUAUCUUGUUUAGGCCUUGACUUGCCUCCUCAAUUCUGAUUGCUGUGAACAAUCACAUUGUGAGCCUGUGAUUUCAGUUUACGAGAAGGGGAGGUUGCUUUCAUUCCUUGCUCAACCAAGGAAUGUUGCUGUGAGGGAGGAAGCAGUUCUCUAGGGGAAUUGAGAUGUGUAGGGAUAAACCUUUCUACGCUCUGAAUUUAUAAUUUGUAAAGAAAAACUAGAAACAUAACUGUAUGCUACACAGUAAGCAUAAAGUAUUGCUUAAUAUUUAAAAUGUGUAAACAGCUCGAAUUUAUUUGCUGUAUCUAGUAAUUUUCUCAAAAGGAUUUUCCUAUUCUGUGGAGGUUCCAGUCUGGAUCUUCUAGAAUAGGUUGAGGAGAUGCCUGACAGGCAAUGAUGCUUGAAACUAUGCAAACUGUUGUAAUUCCUACACCAUUCACCUGAGUUGGAUGUACAUACCCUCAAAUUAAAGCUGACA